rnacentral:rRNA from 1 species
AGUGAACGCUGGCGGUAGGCCUAACACAUGCAAGUCGAACGAGUGGCGGACGGGUGAGGAAUACAGCGGAAUCUACUCUGUCGAGGGGGAUAACGUAGGGAAACUUACGCUAAUACCGCAUACGAUUGAUUGAGACGAUGUCGGAUUAGCUAGUUGGCGGGGUAAAGGCUCACCAAGGCGACGAGCCGUAGCUGGUCUGAGAGGAUGAUCGGCCACACUGGAACUGAGACACGGUCCAGACUCCUACGGGAGGCAGCAGUGGGGAAUAUUGGACAAUGGGCGCAAGCCUGAUCCAGCCAUACCGCGUGAGUGAAGAAGGCCUUCGGGUUGUAAAGCCCUUUUGUUAGGAAAGCGGUACCCAAAGAAUAAGCACCGGCUAACUCCGUGCCAGCAGCCGCGGUAAUAC